AGUGAACGCUGGCGGUAGGCCUAACACAUGCAAGUCGAACGGCAGCACAGUAAGAGCUUGCUCUUACGGGUGGCGAGUGGCGGACGGGUGAGGAAUACAUCGGAAUCUACUUUUUCGUGGGGGAUAACGUAGGGAAACUUACGCUAAUACCGCAUACGACCUACGGGUGAAAGCAGGGGAUCUUCGGACCUUGCGCGAUUGAAUGAGCCGAUGUCGGAUUAGCUAGUUGGCGGGGUAAAGGCCCACCAAGGCGACGAUCCGUAGCUGGUCUGAGAGGAUGAUCAGCCACACUGGAACUGAAACACGGUCCAGACCCCUACGGGAGGCAGCAGUGGGGAAUAUUGGACAAUGGGCGCAAGCCUGAUCCAGCCAUACCGCGUGGGUGAAGAAGGCCUUCGGGUUGUAAAGCCCUUUUGUUGGGAAAGAAAAGCAGCAGGUUAAUACCCCGCUGUUCUGACGGUACCCAAAGAAUAAGCACCGGCUAACUUCGUG
rnacentral:rRNA from 1 species